AUCUUAGUAGUGUAUAUAACACACUUCAUUUUCGUUGAAGAGAAGAAAACUCUUUUUCCUGAGAUA
rnacentral:tRNA from 1 species